rnacentral:SRP_RNA from 1 species
GCCAGCGCAGUGGCGAGAGCCUGAGUCCCAGCUACUCGGAAGGCUGAGGCGGGAGGAUCACUUGAGCCCUGGAGUUCUGGGCUGUAGUGCACUAUGCCGAUCGAGUGUCCGCACUAAGUUUGGCAUCAAUAUGGUGACCUCCCAGGAGCGGGGGACCACCAGGUUCCCUAAGGAGGGGUGUAUCAGCCCCGGUCCCAAACAGAGAAGGUCAAAACUCCAGUGCUGAUCAGUAGUGCAAUCGUGCCUGUGUAUAGCCACUGCACUCCAGCCUGGGCAACAUAGGACACCCUGUCUCU